UGCCGAUGGGACGAAAGCUUUAGGAGGAGUUAGCCACAUUCCAAUGUGUGCGAAUCGGCAAAAAAUGCGAAAUAGCCCUUUAACUGUACAUUUUACAGAUACGCGCACAUUGACUUUUUCGUAGAUCUUAUUGAGAUACAUGUGUGUGUUAAUUUUUGUGUCAAUAUGACAAAGCGUACAGGCGUGACACUCAACAAUGUGUAUAUUCGCCUUACGGGACAAGAAAAAAUGGACUUUUUUCUCCUGCCAUGGGGGGCGCUCUUUUGGCGAGUAAAAAUUCCUUCACAAAUGUGUUGAUGGCUGGACAUUGCAUCCACCUAGAAAACUUGGAGGCCAGUGAGGACAAAUGUAAAAAGUUAUGACUUUUAAGAAUGUGGAUUUUUGGGUUAUCUUUGGCGCCCCCUAGAACGUAAACCGUGGGGUGCAGCGUCAUGAUUUGUACAACUUUUAAUGGCCAUGGGGGGUAGAUUGGCCUGCGCAAAUGUGGUGCCGGUCGAACGAAAGCCUUCGGAGGAGUUAGCGAAAUUCCAAUGUGUGCAGAUCUGCAAAAAAUGCAAAAUAACCCAUUAACCGUACAUUUGACAGAUACGCCCGCACUGACUUUUUUGUAGAUCUUAUUGAGAUACAUGUGUGUGUCAAUUUUUGUGUCAAUAUGACAAAGCGUACAGCCGUCAUGUGAAUUUUCACCUUAGGGGGCGCUAUGGAGCCAUUUUGCAUUUUAUUGUUUGGGCGACUUCAGAAUAUCGAAUUUUUCACCAGGCCCGGUCGUCCUGCCAAAUGUCCUGAGUUUUCGCCAGUGGGAAGUGGGCCAUUUUCCAGUUUGAAGCGGAGGAAAAAUAAUAACGAAAGAAGGAAACAUGCAGGAACAAGAGGGCUCUCGCAGCUGCUUAGCAGCUACGCUCGGGCCCUAAUAAUAACAAAAGAAGGAAACAUGCAGGAACAAGAGGGCUCUCGCAGCUGCUUAGCAGCUACGCUCGGGCCCUAAAAAAGGAAACUACAGGAACAAGAGGGCUCUCGCAGCUGCUUAGCAGCUACGCUCGGGCCCUAACUAGGACCCCGUUGGGGCACUGGCGGGCCCGAGCUGUGUCGCGUCCCCCCCCCAACGCGCUGCCUCCCCGUCCCAUUUGUGUCCUCUGGCCAUCGUCCUCUCAUGUAACGCCCAUCACUGCAAAGACCCUUUUCCUUCAUCGGCGUUUGCUGUUCUUCCUGCCAGUGCGUGUUGCUUUCACUUACACUUGCCACAGCCAGCCUCUUGAGUGCCUAGCCUAUUGGAUAUCACUGUCACCUACUCAGGACAGUCAUUACCUUUCUAUUAAUACUUUGUUUUUUAAUUUCACAUUAAUUUCCAUAUUGUAUAAACAACUGGAAAAAACUUGAGCCCCUGCCCCUGUAUAAUCAUGUGCACGUCUCUGUUCUAGCUCUAAGCUGAAUCUUCACUGCUCAUGUUCUCCUCAGAAGCAGUCACCUCACUCCCCUCAGGUUACUGUACACAUGCACCAACUGCCUGCUUCAGGUUUGGAUGGAGCUUCAUGGUUGUCUUUUGGAGAAAUGACCAGUCAAGUUGUGUUUGAAAUUUGAUUUUUUUCAGGGGCAAAAGGAGCCUCUGCAUUCUUGUCAAAUAUGUAAAUAGCAUGUUUUUGCAGGUGCUAAAAACCAGACUCUGAGUGUGUGUGUGUGUGUGUGUGUGUGUGUGUGUGUGUGUGUGUGUGUGUGUGUGUGUGUGUGUGUGUGCGUUCAAGUCACAUGACAUAUUUAACCGGAUGUAGCUGCAAGACGGAGCCUCGUUGACCCUCC
rnacentral:lncRNA from 1 species